AGUGUGCUUAUGUGUUAGUGUAUGUAUAGAUAUAAUAUUAGACUCUUCAAAACAACACAUAUACAAAAAACCCUAUUAGAGUUUCUCUUCGAGCCCUCAUCUCUCCCGCAAGUUUUCUUGAUCUCCAUUGUAUUUCCUUGCUAUUAUUCUUAUAAGUGUGCUUAUGUGUUAGUGUAUGUAUAGAUAUAUUAUUAGACUCUUCAAAACAACACAUAUACAAAAAACCCUAUUAGAGUUUCUCUUCGAGCCCUCAUCUCUCCCGCAAGUUUUCUUGAUCUCCAUUGUAUUUCCUUGCUAUUAUUCUUAUAAGUGUGCUUAUGUGUUAGUGUAUGUAUAGAUAUAAUAUUAGACUCUUCAAAACAACACAUAUACCAAAAACCCUAUUAGAGUUUCUCUUCGAGCCCUCAUCUCUCCCGCAAGUUUUCUUGAUCUCCAUUGUAUUUCCUUGCUAUUAUUCUUAUAAGUGUGCUUAUGUGUUAGUGUAUGUAUAGAUAUAUUAUUAGACUCUUCAAAACAACACAUAUACAAAAAACCCUAUUAGAGUUUCUCUUCGAGCCCUCAUCUCUCCCGCAAGUUUUCUUGAUCUCCAUUGUAUUUCCUUGCUAUUAUUCUUAUAAGUGUGCUUAUGUGUUAGUGUAUGUAUAGAUAUAAUAUUAGACUCUUCAAAACAACACAUAUACAAAAAACCCUAUUAGAGUUUCUCUUCGAGCCCUCAUCUCUCCCGCAAGUUUUCUUGAUCUCCAUUGUAUUUCCUUGCUAUUAUUCUUAUAAGUGUGCUUAUGUGUUAGUGUAUGUAUAGAUAUAUUAUUAGACUCUUCAAAACAACACAUAUACAAAAAACCCUAUUAGAGUUUCUCUUCGAGCCUUCAUCUCUCUCGCAAGUUUUCUUGAUCUCCAUUGUAUUUCCUUGCUAUUAUUCUUAUAAGUUUUGCUCGUAUAUUUUGCUCUUUUUAUAUAUAAGCAUGCAUGUCGCUAACCUUUAUAUCAAAGUAUAAAGAGCUUAAACCCAAUAAAAUUUUGAUGUAUAUACUACAAAAUUCUAAACAUGCCAUCUUCGUAUACACAUGAUUUGUAACACCCCAAAAAUAAAUUUUUUCUUUUUUUUUUUAAUAUUGGAACCUUUUUUUUUUAGAUUUAAUUGAAAUUGAUUUUAAAAAAAAUGGGUGAAAAUUUGAAUUCUGAAGUGUUUUUGAAAAGAAAAUCAGAAACCGGAAAUCAAAAUUCAAUUUAAAAAAGUUGACCACGUCAGCAACUCAAUCAGCAGUUCCGGUCACCCAGGACACGCCGCGUGGCAAUAAACGCUGACGCGGGACGGGAUCACGUGAUCAACUUGUUGGGUAUGAUUAACUUUUCACUGCUGGUUUUUUUCCCAUGUGUUCGUGUGCAAUUAUGGUAGUGAUGUUAUGGGUCGAAACCAUGAUGGCUAUGCACGUUACAUGUCUUUUAUAUAUGUACCUAUACAUGUACAUAUACAUAUAUGUAAGAUAGAGUACAAGUCUAUGAUUCAACUUGCCUUUGUUUUUUCUUUUGGUUUUGGGCUAGUUGGGAGUAAGGUUGGAAAUACCCACUAAAAAGAUAAAACGAGAGAAUUAAAGAUAGUCAUGAACUUCAUGGUGUAUAUGCGAAUAUAAUAUAUUAUUUUGAAUUUAAAUUUACUAAAAAAUAACUUCAAUUAUUAAUAUAUUUUAAAAAAAUUCAUAACCCAUAUAAAAAUUUCAUAAAUUUUUCGAUGCAAGGUAUAAAUUUUAAAUCAAUUACUUAUCGAAAUUCAAAUAAUCCAAGUUCGUAUUUAUUAAUAUUUAAUUUGGUAAAAC
rnacentral:lncRNA from 1 species